CGGCCGGCAGCGCUCCCGCCGAGCGCCCCGGAGCGGGCAUCACCGAGUCCCCGUCCCCCGCCGCCCCUCCAGCCGCGGCCGCUGCGAAGUCACCGCGCUCGGGGGCGGUGGAGGCGGGCGAGGAACAACCUUUAAAUAUUGCAGGACCCAGCUGUACCUGGGCACUGCGCUGGCAGGCACGAGGUGUUCUCUGGGCAGAUCCACUGACUCAGGCAGUGAUGGACACCACUUUCAAACCCUCCAAAACCCUCCCUUCUGUGCAGUUACAUAGAUUUUUUUUCUGUGUUUACAUCAUAUAUCUGCAUAUUUUAAUCCAAAUGUAAGGUUUUAAAGUUUUUCUUUUUUUCUCUC